rnacentral:rRNA from 1 species
AUGAACGCUGGCGGCGUGCUUAACACAUGCAAGUCGAACGGAAAGGCCGAAGCUUGCUUCGGUACUCGAGUGGCGAACGGGUGAGUAACACGUGGGUGAUCUGCCCUGUACUUCGGGAUAAGCUUGGGAAACUGGGUCUAAUACCGGAUAUGACGAUCUCUUGGAUGGGGUUGUGGAAAGCUUUUGCGGUAUGGGAUGAGCUCGCGGCCUAUCAGCUUGUUGGUGGGGUAAUGGCCUACCAAGGCGUCGACGGGUAGCCGGCCUGAGAGGGUGUACGGCCACAUUGGGACUGAGAUACGGCCCAGACUCCUACGGGAGGCAGCAGUGGGGAAUAUUGCACAAUGGGCGCAAGCCUGAUGCAGCGACGCCGCGUGGGGGAUGACGGCCUUCGGGUUGUAAACUCCUUUCGCAAUCGACGAAGCCUUUUGGUGACGGUAGGUUGAGAAGAAGCACCGGCUAACUACGUG